GCAUCGGUGGUUCAGUGGUAGAGUGCUCGCCUGCCACGCGGGCGGCCCGGGUUCGACUCCCGGCCGACGCA
rnacentral:tRNA from 1 species